AUUGAACGCUGGCGGCAUGCCUUAUACAUGCAAGUCGAACGGUAACAGGGAGCUUGCUCCGCUGACGAGUGGCGAACGGGUGAGUAAUGUAUCGGAACGUACCAUUCAGUGGGGGAUAACGUAGCGAAAGUUACGCUAAUACCGCAUAUUCUGUGAGCAGGAAAGCAGGGGAUCGCAAGACCUUGCGCUGAUUGAGCGGCCGAUAUCAGAUUAGCUAGUUGGUGAGGUAAAGGCUCACCAAGGCGACGAUCUGUAGCGGGUCUGAGAGGAUGAUCCGCCACACUGGAACUGAGACACGGUCCAGACUCCUACGGGAGGCAGCAGUGGGGAAUUUUGGACAAUGGGGGCAACCCUGAUCCAGCCAUGCCGCGUGAGUGAAGAAGGCCUCGGUUGUAAGUACCUUUCGGUCCGGGAAAAAGUACGCGAUCAGUUAAUAACCUGGUGUGGAUGAUGGUACCGGAAGUAAGAAGCACCGGCUAACUACGUG
rnacentral:rRNA from 1 species